rnacentral:rRNA from 1 species
UACGAAGGGGGCGAGCGUUGUUCGGAUUUACUGGGCGUAAAGGGCGCGCAGGCGGUUCUGUUUGUCGAGUGUGAAAGCCCCGGGCUCAACCUGGGAACUGCGCUCGAAACGGCAGAACUAGAGUUCGGGAGAGGAGAGUGGAAUUCCCAGUGUAGAGGUGAAAUUCGUAGAUAUUGGGAAGAACACCGGUGGCGAAGGCGGCUCACUGGCCCGGUACUGACGCUGAGGUGCGAAAGCGUGGGGAGCAAACAGG